UACGGAGGAUGCAAGCGUUAUCCGGAAUUAUUGGGCGUAAAGCGUCCGUAGGUGGCUUUACAAGUCAGCUGUUAAAGCGUGGAGCUUAACUCCAUAAAGGCAGUUGAAACUGUGAGGCUAGAGUGCGGUAGGGGUAAGGGGAAUUCCUAGUGUAGCGGUGAAAUGCGUAGAUAUUAGGAAGAACACCGGUGGCGAAAGCGCCUUGCUGGACCUGCACUGACACUGAGGGACGAAAGCUAGGGGAGCGAAA
rnacentral:rRNA from 1 species